ensembl:snRNA U6 U6 spliceosomal RNA
GUGUUCGCUUUAGCAACACAUAUACUAAAAUUGGAAUGAUACAGAGAAAAUUCACAUGAUCCCUGUGCAUGAAUGACACACAAUACAUGAAGCAUUCCAUAUUUUU